rnacentral:misc_RNA from 1 species
GAUGAAGAACGUAGCGAAAUGCGAUAAGUAAUGCGAAUUGCAGAAUUCAGUGAAUCAUCGAAUCUUUGAACGCACAUUGCGCCCGCCAGCAUUCUGGCGGGCAUGCCUGUUCGAGCGUCAUUUCAACCCUCGACCUCCCUUUGGGGAAGUCGGCGUUGGGGACCGGCAGCACACCGCCGGCCCUGAAAUGGAGUGGCGGCCCGUCCGCGGCGACCUCUGCGUAGUAAUCCAACUCGCACCGGAACCCCGACGCGGCCACGCCGUAAAACACCCAACUUCUGAACGUUGACCUCGAAUCAGGUAGGACUACCCGCUGAACUUAAGCAUAUCAAUAAGCGGAGGA